GCUAUGAUGAAUAAAAGGCAUUGAUCAGGUCUUGAACUGAUAAAGCCAUUUUGUCCUCUAAGAAGUUCUGAGCUU
rfam:Xenopus tropicalis strain Nigerian Chr08_contig_1476, whole genome shotgun sequence.